CUCACACACGUGUUUGCACCUAUGGCAAUAAAGGAAAAGAAGAAGAGCAAAAACCAGCUCAAAUCAUCAUGUAACAAAGAACCCAACACUCCAAAGCAAGAACCCAAGAGUCCAAAGCUGUGGCCUGAUCUUCCACAGCAACUUAUUUACCUAAUAGAAAGGCAGCCUACCCUGAUUCGAAAUAUCUUUUCCAGGGGCGUGACCAAGUCCUGGAGAGCAGAACGAAGCAAGUGCAAUCCCAAUCCUGCACCACCAUGGCUUCAACUCACCAUUGAUGAUCAAGAAACUGCUGAUAACCAACCUUGCACCUUCAACAUCUGGUUUGCCAAGGAUCCAGUUGUAUAUGCUGCUUCAUCUUCAAACCCUGUAGGUUAUCGUUAUCACAACAAUAAAUGCACUGUGAUCGUUUUGACAGGCAUUGCUCGUCCAGCUUUUGCUUUCUACAAACUGCGGCAGAAAUCAGAAAAAUGGAUUAAAAAGGAUAGCUCCAUCAUUGACCCUUACUGUUCUGACCCGCAUGAACGAGCCCAUCUUCUGCGAUUCACUAAUGGCAUUUGGUUCAAGGAUAAGUUUUAUGCUUUGAGUUUACACGGAACUCUUGCAGUAAUAGAAGACAUUGAUUCUGACAUCAGAAUCACAGCUUUGGGUAAGAAAAGAGCUGUUCCCUCUGUAUCGUCAAUGCAUUUUAGAGAAUGCUUGAUCGAAUCAGAAGGGAAGAUUCUACUAGUUUUCCUCAUCUCCAGAAAGUCUAUUAAGGUAGUGGAUGAUGUGGAAGUUUACCAGCUUGAUACUGCUAAACUCACAUGGAUUACGAAGGAAAGCCUUGGAGGUGAUAGAACAUUGUUUUUGGGUGCUAAUUGCUGUAUGUCAGUUUCAGCAAGCAGAGUGGGAUGCAGGAGAAAUUGUGUAUAUUUUACUCACGGUGAAGAUGAUGGUUGGUGGGUAUAUGAGAUGGAAACAGCUACCAUUAAUAGCUCAAACAAAUUUCCAGUUUGGGAUGAACCAAUGCUAAUGGAAUAAAUUUCUAUGUUAAAAAAAAUUGCUGAAGUUGGUUUCGUAUGCUUACGCUGUAUCAGAAGAAUGAAAGUGAAUAAAUUGAAUUGAAUUCGAACUGUUUUGUUUUGC
rnacentral:misc_RNA from 1 species